UAGUCAUAUGCUUGUCUCAAAGAUUAAGCCAUGCAUGUCUCAGUGCAAGCCGUCGAGUACGGUGAAACCGCGAAAGGCUCAUUAAAUCAGUUAUGGUUCCUUAGAUUGUACCCACAUUACUUGGAUAACUGUGGUAAUUCUAGAGCUAAUACAUGCCGAUAGAGUUUCGACCAGCCCGCGUGGCGGUUCACGCCGUCUCGCGACGUUCGGAAGGAACGCUCUUAUUAGAUCAAAACCGGCCAAGCGCGGCCGUUCGCGUCUCGCGACGCGUUCGGUCCGCGUAAGUGGCCCGCGCAAAGACUUGACGACUCUGAAUAAUUUCGAGCUGAUCGCACGGUCCUGGUACCGGCGACGUAUCUUUCAAAUGUCUGCCUUAUCAACUGUCGACGGUAGGUUCGAUGCCUACCGUGGUGGUAACGGGUAACGGGGAAUCAGGGUUCGAUUCCGGAGAGGGAGCCUGAGAAACGGCUACCACAUCUAAGGAAGGCAGCAGGCGCGCAAAUUACCCACUCCCAGCUCGGGGAGGUAGUGACGAAAAAUAACGAUACGGGACUCAUCCGAGGCCCCGUAAUCGGA
rnacentral:rRNA from 1 species